rnacentral:lncRNA from 1 species
GAAGAAACAAGGUUAUCCUUCUGGUUACAACAAACUAACAGCUACUUUUCUUUUUCUGUUUCCAGCCCCAGCCUCAGAGUUUUCACCAGCCCCAAGUUCCCCUCCCAACCCAUAGGGCAGCUCCGUGGAUGACAGGUCUGUGACCUUGUGUAUUUGGAGCUCUGACUUUGCCCAGAAAGUCCUGGUGACCCAAAGGUGAACAAGGCCCCUCAUGAGGAUAAUAUUCCCUAAAACAGAAAAGUCCUUCCAGACCAAUAAUAAUUUCAAGUCCUUCAAACUGUUUUGAAGGUUUUCUGAUUAUUGAGCAGAGAUACUUCCCCACAUGCCUGUGAGUAGAGUCAUUGGACAAUACUUCUCCCAGUGAUUCUGGUUCCUGACCUUCCCAUUUAAGGAUUUCUCACCUCCCACCAGCAGACAUAAAGGCAGGUGUGGGCCUUAUCAGUGUAGGAGAGUCUCUGAAAACCACUCAUAUACAGAGGGAGUCAUGGCAAGAUGCAUCCACAUUUCUGUCAUUUCCAGGCCAGUCCUUGGCGAGGAUCAGGAAAUCCAAAGUUUCCUAGAAGAAUGGGGAAUCCUUGGAAGGAGUUUCAUCUUGAGUCAAGGAAGAAGAAUCCUGUCCUGACAAGGACAAUGGCUUUGUGCCCAAGCUCGGGGCCAUAAAGACAUCUGUCCCCAGAUGCUGAGGAGUUUACAAACUUUACCUUGGACUGUAAAGGUAACUUGUUGGCCUUUACUAGGGCUAGUAAACCCUAGCCCAUGCCUAUGGAGAAGCCCUGCAGGAGACUCCAGGCCUCAGAUGCCAUCAACAGCUCACAACUUACCAGCUCUAGGACAAGGCCAACAACCUUCCAUUUGGAGAGCAUGGUGAGCUCCAAAGUGUUCUGUGUGCAGAGUCCUCAGGUCCCUUAGGAAGCGCCCAAUUCUGGAGCACUGCAUGGUUCUCGCCAUGUCUGUUUCCUGCUUUUCUCCCAGCAGCCCUCAAGCCCCAGCAGUAUGGUUCACCUCCUCUGUCCAUCAUCCAGAUCCUGGACUUAAAAUUAGACCCCGGAUCCCAGUUCCAUUUGAGAAGAUUUCCAUGAAUGCUUUCUUCCUCAAAACUAGUAAAGUGACAAAAAGUGAAAUGUAACUAGAUCUUCUAGUUCUGGAUUGUAGCAGGGACGGAGAUGGAAUCCUAAAAAUAGGAAAGGCAAGAGACACAGAAGGACCUCAGUUUCCUAGGGAACUUGGUACCUGUCACCUUGUCAUAAUCAUUCUUCCUGCAUGGAGUCUCCUUUACAAUCGUUAACAACCUUUACUGCCUGAACUUGAUCAAGAAUUUACCAUUGAAACUGGACUUUGAUUCAGCUUGAGAGAGAAAAAGAGUAUCACAGUUAUGUACUCACCACUCCUCCCCAUCCCCAAACCCAGCAUAGGGAAAACAAAAUUUGAACUUGAAUAAAAUAAACCUGCCUCUUUCUACUUAGACUCUG